GAAAUGCGAUAAGUAAUGUGAAUUGCAGAAUUCAGUGAAUCAUCGAAUCUUUGAACGCACAUUGCGCCCCUUGGUAUUCCGAGGGGCAUGCCUGUUCGAGCGUCAUU
rnacentral:rRNA from 2 species